rnacentral:lncRNA from 1 species
CUCUGAAGUUGUUUAGCCUUAUUUGAAAAUGCCUUAUGCAUUAUUUCAGGUGUAAGAAGAUGAUGAUGAGAGGCCUGCAGAAGCCAGGCAAAGAAGCCUUGAAUGCUGCCUAGACCUCUGUUAACCUUUCGUCCUGCCAUCCACCAUCCUGCCAAUAGGUGCUGGUCUGAACCUGACUGCAGAGCGCCGAGGGCUGUGAGACUGAGCAGCUUAAAAGGGAGCAGAGUACUGCAUCCUCCCAGCACGGCCUGGGAGAAGAAAAGAAUAAAUGGAGAAGCAUUGCAG